GAGGCCACCUCGGGGUGCUGGCGCAGUUCAAACCAGCUGAGAUGCAAGUCGCGAACCCGUUGAACCUGAACCGGCUAGAACCGGCGGAGGGAAGGUCGACCGCCCCGGC
rfam:Marinovum algicola DG 898, complete genome.